rnacentral:rRNA from 1 species
GACGAACGCUGGCGGCGUGCUUAACACAUGCAAGUCGAACGAUGAAGAAAAGAAUCGAAGCUUCGGCAGAAAUUCAUUUCGGAUUAGUGGCAGACGGGUGAGUAACGCGUGAGCAACCUACCUCUUACAAGGGAUAGCCUCGGGAAACCGGGAUUAAUACCAUAUAACAUUGCGACGAAGCAUUUCGAUGCAAUCAAAGCUACGGCGGUAAGAGAUGGGCUCGCGUCCCAUUAACCGGAUGGUGAGGUAACGGCUCACCAUAGUGACGAUGGGUAACCGGCCUGAGAGGGUGAACGGUCACACUGGAACUGAGACACGGUCCAGACUCCUACGGGAGGCAGCAGUGGGGAAUAUUGCACAAUGGAGGGAACUCUGAUGCAGCGACGCCGCGUGAGUGAUGAAGGAAUUCGUCUCGUAAAACUCUGUUCUAUGGGAAGAAAAGGACUGUACCAUAGGAGAAAGCUCCGGCUAAAUACGUG